CAGCAAACGAAACGACGUGCUGCCGGGAUGAGCCAUUUCGAGAAAUUCGGGGACGGUUAGUGUUCCGGCUUCGGUCGGUAUGCAGACUGGAACCGAUUUAAUCGCAGUGGCUUGAACCGGGCAAAAGUCGUAACAAGGUAGCUGUAGGUGAACCUGCUGCUGGAUCAUUACCCAAGUGAUUCCUAUUCACCACCUACCUGCUGUCCUGUUGGGCUAGCGUUGGCACCACCAAAUGCCCCCGUCCGCUGAUGGGCACAGGUCGUUCGAGAUGACUUGUGGACGCUGCCCAACAUUACGGGGCAGCUGCCUCACGAGCCAUGCUUUUGGGGUGCUUCCAUACGUUGGAGCUGUGGUAUACCGCUCAGUGCUGCACAUGUGAAAGCCUGUGUAUGGCUGCUGCGUGGCAAUGUGUCGGUGGCGGGCCGCCUCGCUUGGCUGGUUCGCUGCGCCAAUGUGGGAUGCACGCUCGUGGGGCGACCUAACGGCUGUGCUGGCGUCUGUGCGUCGUUGAGCGGUUGUUGUGGCAGGCACAUAACACACUGACUGGGGAUGGUGGUUUCGUUCCCGGUCUUACGUGCCGUAACUAGCGGUGUGUUUGUGCUUGCUGCUACGUCCGUGGCCGUGAUGAGACGACGCGGUAGGGCCCGUGCUUGGCCUAGCACGUGGCUUAAGACUCAAUGAGUGUCAGCUCGGGCACCGCCAGCUUUUUCUUUUUUUUUCAUUAUUUUUUUUUACACUUCUGUUGAAGAAUGAAUUCUAGUCUUAUCGGUGGAUCACUCGGCUCGUGGAUCGAUGAAGAACGCAGCCAACUGCGAUAAUUAGUGCGAACUGCAGAAACCUUGAACACAAAACAUUCGAAUGCACAUUGCGCCAUUGGAGUUACAUCCAUUGGCACGCCUGGUUCAGGGUCGUUACCAUAAAAUGCACUGCUUGUGCGUUGCUUCGUGGGAUCAUGUACUUGUACGUGUUCUUACGUUACUUGCUCAGCUCGGCUGUGGGGUUUUGGUGUGCUGGCGCGAACUUGUGGUUCUAAUUCGCGUUUUACGGACCGUAACUCGGGCGCACCAAUGCUUUGCAUGCUGUGGCGGAGUGCCUGGAUUACUGGCAUUCCUGCUUUGAUUUUUCGACCUGAACUCAGACGUGAACACCCGCUGAACUUAAGCAUAUCAGUAAGCGGAGAAAAUGAAUUUUUUUU
rnacentral:rRNA from 1 species